rnacentral:rRNA from 1 species
AUUGAACGCUGGCGGCAGGCCUAACACAUGCAAGUCGAAAGAAAGGCGGACGGGUGAGUAAUGUCUGGGAAACUGCCCGAUUGAGGGGGAUAACUACUGGAAACGGUAGCUAAUACCGAAUAACAUCGAAUGACCCCAGAUGGGAUUAGCUAGUGGGUGGGGUAACGGCUCACCUAGGCGACGAUCCCUAGCGGGUCUGAGCGGAUGACCAGCCACACUGGAACUGAGACACGGUCCAGACGCCUACGGUAGGCAGCAGUGGGGAAUAUUGCACAAUGGGCGAAAGCCUGAUGCAGCCAUGCCGCGGGUAUGAAGAAGGCCUUCGGGUUGUAAAGUACUUUCAGCGAGGAGGCGUUACUCGCAGAAGAAGCAUCGGCUAACUCCGUGCCAGCAGCCGCGGUAAUAC